rnacentral:rRNA from 1 species
CAGUAGCCGCGGUAAUACGUAGGUGGCAAGCGUUGUCCGGAAUUAUUGGGCGUAAAGGGCUCGCAGGCGGUUUCUUAAGUCUGAUGUGAAAGCCCCCGGCUCAACCGGGGAGGGUCGUUGGAAACUGGGAAACUUGAGUGCAGAAGAGGAGAGUGGAAUUCCACGUGUAGCGGUGAAAUGCGUAGAGAUGUGGAGGAACACCAGUGGCGAAGGCGACUCUCUGGUCUGUAACUGACGCUGAGGAGCGAAAGCGUGGGGAGCGAACAGGAUUAGAUACCCCAGUAGUCCCUGUCUCUUAUAC